CGUGUAGGCGGCCAGGGAGGUCCGUUGUGAAAACUCGAGGCUCAACCUCGAGACGCCGAUGGAAACCCCCUGGCUAGAGUCCGGAAGAGGAGAGUGGAAUUCCUGGUGUAGCGGUGGAAUGCGCAGAUAUCAGGAAGAACACCCGUGGCUAAGGCGGCUCUCUAGUACGGUACUGGCGCUGAGACGCGAAAGCGUGGGGAGCGAACA
rnacentral:rRNA from 1 species